rnacentral:rRNA from 1 species
GACGGUACUGUAAGAAUAAGGAUCGGCUAACUCCGUGCCAGCAGCCGCGGUAAUACGGAGGAUCCAAGCGUUAUCCGGAAUCAUUGGGUUUAAAGGGUCCGCAGGCGGUUUUUUAAGUCAGAGGUGAAAUCCUACAGCUCAACUGUAGAACUGCCUUUGAUACUGAAAAACUUGAGUUAUUGUGAAGUGGUUAGAAUGUGUGGUGUAGCGGUGAAAUGCAUAGAUAUCACACAGAAUACCGAUUGCGAAGGCAGAUCACUAACAAUAUACUGACGCUCAUGGACGAAAGCGUGGGGAGCGAACAGGAUUAGAUACCCUGGUAGUCCACGCCGUAAACGAUGGAUACUAGCUGUU